UACAGAGGUCCCGAGCGUUGUUCGGAUUCACUGGGCGUAAAGGGUGCGUAGGCGGUCGGAUAAGUUUGAUGUGAAAUCUCCGGGCUUAACCCGGAAAGGUCAGCCGAUACUGCGGGGCUAGAGUGCAGAAGGGGCAACUGGAAUUCUCGGUGUAGCGGUGAAAUGCGUAGAUAUCGAGAGGAACACCUGCGGCGAAGGCGGGUUGCUGGGCUGACACUGACGCUGGGGCGCGAAAGCUAGGGGAGCGAACGGGG
rnacentral:rRNA from 1 species